rnacentral:tRNA from 1 species
UCUAAUAUGGCAGAAUAGUGCAUUGGAUUUAAAUCCCAAUUAUAAAGUCCCCCUUUUUUUAGAA